GGCUUGGUGGCGUAAUGGUAACGCUCUCCGUGGUGAUAUAUAGUAUUUGUAUAUUGGUUGAUGGAAAGUCCGGAGUUCGAUUCUUCGUCAAGCCA